rnacentral:lncRNA from 1 species
CUGAGACCGCUACGGUGACUUGCAAGCAACUCACUGCACUUAGGCACUGGACUACCUGAAUUUCUAAUUCAGUGACGGAAGGCUGUUGGGUGUAGUCAAGUACUUGACUUGUCGGUGCGUGUGUCAAGAUGGGAUUGACCACUCCAGUUUAGGAGCUGUGUAUAGUCGUGUUUCAAUUUAGCAAAAUCUUGACCAAGGUAGUCUUAGUGAGGAGUUACAGGACUAAUUGAGUUGAGCACGAUUCGGAUGAUCUCAUCAGGGUUGACAGUUUAACCCUGAGUCGUCCUAAACACAGGGGUCAAAAGGGAUGAAUUAUACGGUAACCAUAUUCACGUAGGUUCUGAAUGUUGCGAUUGUGAUUAUUCGACCUAUCCGGUCGUCGGGUACCAUUGCUAGAUGGUCACUUCGAUUAGUACAGGAAUUGGUUCCUGUGCUAUCGGUUUAGGUUCGAACCUGCGGGGUCACACACAUUAGAGGUUCCUUUCUGAUCUGAUGGCUGAUUAUGAGUCUUAUCUAUCUGGGACUCUAUGAUUGAGAAUUAUGAUUCUCUAAUCAUGUGUUCCACACAUUUUGGGUAUCGGGGUCAAAAUUUUGAAUUUCAAAUUUUGAAUUUGAAAUUUGAACUCUUUGAUCAGGGUUUCAUAUCGAUGGUCUCUGAUGCCUGAUUGCCCAUCGGAUUUGGACUCAAUAUUUAUGAGAAAUUUAAUUAGUAAUUUAAUCACUAAUUAACUCAAU